UUGUAUGUUUAAUUGUUUAUAUUUAUUCCUCUCCCUUCUAGUGUUCUACGACACAUUAUGAUGUACUGGUCACUUCGAUCAGCAUGACGUACUGGUAUUAAUUAACGACCAAUAACCUCUUGACGCAUGUCCUUGUUGCAGCUUCGUGUGUCAGGCAUAAUAAGCAAUUCUCCAUACAUGUUGGUCUUAGAUUGUGAUAUGAAUUGCAGUGACCCAACCUCUGCUAGACAAGCUAUGUGUUUCCACAUUGAUCCUGACAUCUCUCCCUCGUUGGCUUUUGUUCAAUUUCCUCAACUGUUCCAUAAUCUCAGUAAGAAUGACAUCUAUAAUGAUCUAUUGAGAACCGGAUGUGAGGUAUAUCUACGUUAAACGAGUCUUGUAUAGCUAAUUAACGUCUCAGAGUCGGGAUAAUCUAGGUUAUUAAAACUGUUCUGAUUAUAUUUGCAAUCGGACGUCGUUAUAUUUCAGGUGCAGUGGUAUGGUCUGGAUGGCCUACGGGGGCCACUUUUAUCUGGCACUGGCUUUUAUACGAAGAGAGAAGCUUUGUUUAGAAGUCCUACACAAAAAGGUUUAGCAAAAAACUUAGGGACGGGUUCCUUCUUCUACUGACUUAUGUAAAGUGUUUUUUUUUUUUUUUUUUUUGAUAAUUAAGUUUAACACCUUAUUAAAAUUAAAACUGUCAGAAACAAGUUACAAGAAGUUAACAUGGACAGUGAGAGAGACACUCACUCUCCUUGCAGGCCUAAUCAACUCUUUAUUGUGCAGAUCUAAGUCACAUUAGGAAUAGGCAAGAUGUCGGUUGUUCAAAUGACUUCAUCACAUCACUUCAUCCUGAUAACAAAGUUAAAGCAAUUAGCAAUAAUCAACAUGUAUCAAGCAGAUUGCUUGAAGAGGCCAGACUUCUGGCUUCUUGCACAUACGAGUAACAAACACAAUGGGGUGAACAGGUAAGUUAAUUUCCAAAUGAAUAAACAAACCAUCUCAUGUCAUUAUGACCCUAUCAGUAUUGUUCCAUCAAAAUUUUUAUAAGAAUGAGAAGUACGGACAAACUGAUUUAAGCUACAAGAUAAUAUUCAGCUCUCAUAUUAAAAAUGUGUUAGUAUCAUAAUAACUGAGCUGCAUAAGUGCUUCAGCUUAGGAUCUACAUAAAAAAUACGAAAUUCCAUCAGUAAUUACUUACUCUUUACCUAGUGUCUUACCUCUCUUUCUUUCUUAAUGGCGUUUUCUGAAAUAUCCAGACCUACAACAUAACGUUCAGGGCCAACAAUUGCAAUCACAUGAUGAUCUUGUUGGCUAUAAUAAGUAAGUACAAUAUAACGUGCAAACUAAUAAAACAUAAAAAUUAAACAAGUUUGUUGAACAGUUUUAAUUAGAGACCAAAUGUUGUUACAUGCGUGAAAACGCCACUUUCACUUAUAAAUGACCAUUGCAUCAAAAUGUCAUGUCAUCAGAUAAAAUUUUAACAUUUUGGAACAUGUACUCACAUGCUGAAACAAUAACAAACAUGUAAACACUUACAGUGUCACAUACUGGGAUUAGAACCCUGCCUUUUGGAAGAGGAAGAGCAGCUGGUUUGUAGAAGAUUUAAAAUAACAGGUGUUGGUCCUCGCAAAUCCCCAUAGUGUUCAGUGCUUUUUCCUAGCAUUAUUUGUCCCAGGCACCUAGUCAUUCAAACUUAAACAAAAUUCAGAAAUUCAAUAGUUGUAAUGGACAGAACGACUUAGAAAUUAAACACAAGUUUUCCUUUGAGCUUCCAAUGUAGUCAAUUAUGUUGAUGUAAAAAUCCAUUAAGGCCAUUAUGCUAUGCUUCUUGAAGCAGAUUUACAAACAUUCUACAAAUAAGUCAAAGUGUUGCAAGGUUUCUGUUACAUGUUCGAUAAUCUAAUUCUCACUGGUAUGAUUAUGUAUUCACAUUAUCACUUCAAAUUUUCAUCAUCAUCAUCAUCAUCAUCAUCAUACUCAAAUUAUCACAAAUAAGAUAUUGAAUUCCAUGGAAAUUGAAGAAUAUACAAUUAAAUUAAACAACAAUAAAAAGAAGAGUAGAGAUGAGAUGAGAUGAGAUAGUAAGGAGAGAGUGUCAGACCUGUUGAAUCAUUGUUAACGAAUUGGUUCAAGUUAGGUAGAUUUUAGUUGUUGUUGUUGUUCGAAAUCUUCUCUUGAUCUCUUCUCUUUCACUUUGUUUCCUCAUGCUCCUUCGUUCCAACCUAUUGCAAGUUGCAACAACAAAGAUUUUUCACUCUUGUUGUUGUUAAAUGUAAAUGAAGGAAACUGCAAUUGGAUUUGGAGAGCGAACGAACAAGAUUACAAGAGUGUUGCGCGCAAGCAAACAUUACCAUCGCUCGCUCUCGCUCUCGCUCUCGAGUCUCGUCAAACCUUGGAGGAAGAUUGCCUUGGACUGGGCACUGGACUUGCUGAAUUUCUCAACCUAAAGGCAACAAUCUUGCUGUCUAUU
rnacentral:lncRNA from 1 species